rnacentral:rRNA from 1 species
GGAGGGGGCAAGCGUUAUUCGGAUUUACUGGGCGUAAAGCGCACGUAGGCGGCAUGGCAAGUCGCAGGUGAAAGCCCUCGGCUCAACCGAGGAACUGCCUGCGAAACUGUCUUGCUUGAGUCCGGGAGGGGGGAGCGGAAUUCCCAGUGUAGCGGUGAAAUGCGUAGAUACUGGGAGGAACACCGGUGGCGAAGGCGGCUCCCUGGACCGGUACUGACGCUGAGGUGCGAAAGCGUGGGUAGCAAACAGGAUUAGAUACCCUGGUAGUCCACGCCGUAAACGAUGGGCACUAGGUGCAGCGGGUGUCGACCCCCCUGCUGUGCCGAAGUUAACGCAUUAAGUGCCCCGCCUGGGGAGUACGGUCGCAAGGCUG